rnacentral:lncRNA from 1 species
CCCAGUUCCCACCGGGCCUCAUCGCGCCGCUCUCUCCACGCGUGGCCCGCGCGCCUCUGCCGGAACCGGAAAUGACGCCACAAUCAGCUUCCCCUCCCCAUGCCUCGCGCAUGCGCAUCCCUGCUCCAGACGCUCUGACCCCGCCCACUUUCUGGCGGAAGUGCCCUCAGAGCGCCUCAGGGAGGACCCUGAGGGGAUUUUGAGUGACGUCAUUUCCGGCGACUCUCCGUCGCUUCCGUCGCGUCUCGUUGGUUCCGGCGAGCGGAGAGCGGGGCUGAAAGUGACUUUGAGAGCUGGGACGUACUGGGAGAACUGGGAUGGACUGGGAGGGACUGGGAGGGACUGGGAGCGCUGGGGGGGGUACUGGGAUAAACUGGGAUGGACUGGGAUGGACUGGGAUGGACUGGGAUGGACUGGGAUGGACUGGGGGGGGUGCGAGGGUCGUGAGGGGAGCGCUGAGGGCGGUGAGGGCCGGACUGGGAUGAACUGGGAUGGACUGGGAGGGCUCUGAGGGGAACUGGGAGGGGUCUGGGGGGUUACUGGGAUGAACUGGGAGGGACUGGGAUGAACUGGGAUGGACUGGGAGGGGUCUGAGGGGAACUGGGAGGGUUACUGGUUUGAACUGGGAGCACUGGGAGGGGCUACUGGUUUGAACUGGGAAGGACUGGGAUAAACUGGGAGGGGUCUGGGAGCAACUGGGAUGAACUGGGAUGGGAUUGGGGGUUACUGGUUUGAACUGGUUUGAACUGGUUUGAACUGGUUUGGAUCUUGGGCGUUACUGGUUUGAACUGGGAGCACUGGUUCUCUUCUAUUCCAUUAUUAAUUAUUAUCGGAUGUGAUUAAUUAGCAAUUAAUGAGUUAAUUACCUGGAUAGGUCGGUAGUUAAUGAGCUGCUAAUUUGCAUAAUUAGUGACGUUUUAAUCUCUUUUCCUUCUUUUAUUUAUCAUAGUGGGUCAGAAUUAAUUAAUAGUUAAUGAGCUAAUUAAUAUCCAGAUUGGCAACAGCCUAGGUUGUAAUUAGUUAUUCAGCUAAUUAAUGAGCUG